rnacentral:rRNA from 1 species
CGUGUCCUGUUGUGGGGGAGUAACUGAUCGAAAGAUCAGCUAAUACCGCAUGAGACCUGAGGGUGGAAAGCGGGGGAGUCGCAAGACCUCGCGCGACAGGAGCGGCCGAUGUCUGAUUAGCUAGUUGGUGAGAUAAAAGCUUACCAAGGCGACGAUCAGUAGCUGGUCUGAGAGGAUGAUCAGCCACAUUGGGACUGAGACACGGCCCAGACUCCUACGGGAGGCAGCAUG